AAGAUGGCAGAUGACACUGACCGUGCUGACUCUAACUGCAUUCCAAAUUAUAAGUUUGUACACUGUAAAAGUGUGGCACAGGCUUUUAUGACUAUCUACAGUGGAAUUUCCACCUUUUCUGUGGCAUUGCCACCUAAUCCAACAAUUGCAACUGAUGAAUCGCAUAUCAGAGCCAAGGUGUAAUUUGAUCCGCUCACCAUUAUUGCCAUGUAUGGCACAAGGCUCACCCAUUCAAUGGUUGAGAUAUAUUGGAGUAGCAACGGCUUAUUCUACACGCCCAGUGAAGGGAUUGACAUGUUUUCACGUACGAAAGCUAAGGGAUGCAUAAAAAGACAGCUUCUAGGGAGCAAAGAGUUAAUAUUAAAUUGAUACAUAUAUAAUACUCAGAUUGUAAUAGGUUAUCAUUUAAAUAGUACUGACCUGCUAACUUUAUUCAAAAUUGUCACAUAUAAAGACAUUUAUAUAUGUAUAUAAAUGGUUUAUGGUGUUUGUAGUGUGAUUAUUUUUAGAUGUUAAUACGCGCCUAACGGAAUUUUUCAAUGCGUAUGCACAUUUAUCAUUCCUUAUUUUGUAAACAUAAAUGGCCAUCUUUUUAUUAAAAGGUGAGAUAAAAAGUGUCUAUUGCCACUGAUUGAUAAGAACUGACCCUUCAGAUUUUUAUCCGUAUUAAGGAUUGACAUCUUAAGAGCGCUUUAACAAGAUAAUUUGUUUGUUUAGAUGUGUGUUUUUUGUAUAAAUUGAAUAGUGUCACCUCGGAGUCCGGUAUCACAUAUGUAUGAUGACCUAUAUGUGCUGCAGUGUCUGUGAACAUGAACGAUCUGUUGUAGCUGGAUGUGUAUGCUAUUGGUAGGUGAUUCUCAUGUAAGAAGAUUCGAAAACUAUGUGAAAGGUUUGCUUAGGUAUGAAACAUUCAACAUAAGUGAUUUAGGGAUUUUUGCAUUCUGCGGGAUUAGUGGAAGAUCUAUCGCCAAUCAUGCGCACACUUGGCCUCAGAACGUUUGGUGAACUUGGGAGGAAACGAUCUGGACUAGUCAGAGGAUAUUGAUUGUAUAAUAUCCAGGCUAGAGUCAUUCUCAUCUUUGUUAAAAAGACAGUUCAACCUUUGAACUGUUGUUAUUUUAAGUUUCAUGCAUCACUAUAGGACAAGGAACAUUAGCAUCACAAGUUACAAUAGUCGAGUGGACGCAGCAAACCAAUUACUCAAAACAUACAUUCCACAAGGUUGUAUGCUAUUUUGGAAAUUGAAAGGCUUCAAAAACAGUGUGAAUAACAUUUUUAGUGACGGUGUUCAUUUAAACUGUGUAGGACAGUACAAACUUUUGAGACAAAUUAGGGGAAUUAUCCUUUUGUUUACCUGGAACUCAUAAUUUUCCAUGGAGACAGGGGCUUCAUGGGUACACACAUUCAUAAAUCAUAGUUUUUACAUAUUUUUAAAUGUUUUUCCUUUUAAUAUAACAUGUUUAAUUUACCCAGCUUAUUUUUUAUGAUAUUACAAUACAUGACCAAAAUUAUGCCAACAAUUGAAGACACAUUCAAAUCCUGCAUCGCACAUUAUUUCAACAAAACGAAGGCUACAGACACUACUCAGCCACUGCCUUUAGAGCCACCUACCCUCCUACAGCAAACUACAGGUGGUAGUCAUGUACCGAUUACAUCUACAGGUAACCAAGAUUGUCUGGUUGACUCCAAUCCUCCUCAGACCCUGUCUGCUCUAUCUUUGACUUUGGGGGUACACCAAAAAACCCAUGCCAAAAUUCAAAGUCAUGAAUACGUUAAGUUUGCUUUACUCGUAAAACAAAAUGACCCAGACAAUGAAGAGGCAUACUGUGGUUUCAUCAAUAUUCGUUGAAUACCAAUUUUCGUGGAUUUCGAUGUUAAGUUGAUCCACGAAUUUAAAUGUUCAUUGAAGUUCAAUUUCAACUAACAUUUUGCAUUAAUAUGAUCACUGGCCACGGAAUUACGUAUCCUUGAAACUGUGGUUUUCAGAAAAUCCACGAAAAUUGAUACCCACGAAAAUUAAUGAAACCACAGUAAUGCUACCACGUUAUGGUGGCAGAUAACACCCUAUACAAUUUUACACUCCGGACUCCGGGACAUUUUUUAGCAAUAACGUACUUUGUUAACUCUGGUGCUUCUUUUGAAUUUUUUUUUUUUUGUUUUUCUAGUCAAAGAUUGGCACUAACCUUGUGUUUUCACUGCAUAAUAUUUUUGCUCCCAGUCUUUUUAUUGAUUGUAUAAAUGGACAUUGUUUGUAAUUUAUUCUAAUAUGUCUUGAAUAAAUGACCAUUCCUAUUCCUGUUACCUACGAGUUACUGUUAUGAUUUCAUAGGUGGUCAAAUAUAAUGUUACUGUAUAUUUUUCUUCAAGAAAACAAGUUGGAGGACUCCCUGCAAACCUGCGAAAAAAAGGCAAAUGUGUAAAAUAUUUCAAUGUUUUAUGGUUAUUUUUGGAGCUGUUUUCGUUUGAGUUGUGUAGUUCAUAUGUGAAUGAUUAUAUUUCAGGAAAUAAACAUGUCAGAGCGAAAUGGAUGAUGUAGAGUUUCUUGAAAGAAUUGUAAAGAACAAUAAAGAUUUCAUAGCCGGACAAAUUGAUAGUAUGAAGAAAGACAUGAAGAAUCAAAUUUCUACUUUGGAAAAAAAACCUCAAAAGAGAUGGAGGAAGAAAACAACAAAAUUGCUAGCAUGAAGAAAGACUUGAAGAAUCAAAUUUCCACUGUGGAAAACAAACUGAAAGAGAUGGAGGAAAAAAACCACAGACUUAGCAAAUGAAGACAGAUGUUAUUUGUGUACAUUAAACUGGAUCUGUUAAACAAUUUUUUAUAUGAGAUUCUACAGUUACUGUAUUCAGAUUUGACCAUGUUGACCAAACAAAUGGCUGUAUAUAGGUUUGUGUUACAUUGUUAACACGAACCAACACAUCUGUUUUCAGUAGUAAAAGUACUUCUAGAUAUAGAGCUUGUUCCACUAAUUACAGGAUUUAGUAAGUUGAAGAGAAAAGGAAGAAAACAUGUCCAAGUGGUCCAGGAUGCCCUGAACUACCAAAGACAUGAAUCAAUUCACAUGGGGACAUAAACAAAGUGCCGUGUUCACCAAACCAAAAAGAAAUGUUAGAAUACUGUUUUCGGUUGCAAAUUUUGCAGUAUACACAUGCAAAGAUGGAUGCAUUUUUUUUUAUCAUAGUGGACAGUAAAUACUUCAAAAUAUGUACCGGUAAUUAUGCAAUGAAUAUGCAAAUCUUAAUAUUACAUGUACAUUGUUGAUUAUGUAAUAAUCAUUGUUUAUAUAUUAAACUCUUUCAAUUUUUCCCUUGGGGAACCCUAUGUGUAUAUGUUAAUUUUAGACAAGCCCCGUUUUCAGUGUAAUUUUCAGCGUCAAUAGCCUCUGUUGUUUUAAUUCAUCAAAUCUCAUGCCACCCUCUUCUAUGGACUUAUUUAUCUACUCUUUUUGUGUAUUAUCGCUUUCAUGGAAUAUGGAUUUUUUAUUUGUGAUAGUGUUUCAUUGGGAUGAUUAUUCCGUUUAAUUUAUUUUGAUUUUGAACUCUGAACUUUGAACAAUGGCCUCGGGUCGGAGAUCACACGCCAAUUCUUCUAUGCCUCAUGUAGAGGAAUCCGACAAUCCUUCUAAUUGGACAGUUACAGUUUUGAAGAAGAAAUUGGCAGAUAUGGGAAUAGUUAUUAAUGCACAAUUAUCACAUAGCGUGUUAAAAAGAAUUUAUUUAGACAAUGUAAACAAUGGUGUAGGUAAGGAAGUAAAUUUAAACGUCUUACUCAUACCCAACUAUACUACGCCAUUGCAUAAGAAAAUCAGAAAGAAUACAAGCGUCUUGUGAAAAAUUUGACUUUAGAUGAAUUCAUAAUUGCAUUUGGACGGUACAAACGUAUUAUGUGCAAAUAUUUACACAUAUGUAAAUCUUGCAAGUCAAACCAAGAUUGAAUGCAAUCAAACGAAGACUAAUGGAAACGACAACCCAGUCGAACGAUAUAAACAGUUGAACAAAACAUUUAAAUCGCCAUCUUGUGACGUAGUGUCUUAAAAAGUAUAAGUCUUGGUGUAGUGAAGUACCUUAAGCGUACAAGACUGCGUAUAACGAGUUCUAUUCUUUGUAAAAUUUGUCAUUUGCUUCAUUCAGGUAUAUUCCAUAUGUUUACUAAACUAGUUCUUUGUUAGAAGCAGCAUGCACUGCUGCUUUCUUUGGAUUUUUAAGAUGUUUUACUGCGUUUAGUGAAAUUAAUGUCAAUGAUUGCCUUUUGAUAUACCAACUAUCAUGACUAGGACUCGUUUUGAGAGAAUCUCAAAAUAUUUUCAUAUGAACGACACCACACAAAACCCUGCCCAAGGGCAACCAGGACACGACGAAGAAUGUCACAUUAGCCCAGUCUUAGAAAAAGUUUCAGAAACGUGCUUUGAAAAUUAUCAUCCCCACAAGGAACAAUCAGUGGAUGAAGGAAUGAUAGCUUUUAAAGGAAGACUCUCAUUUAACUCAUUCAGCCCCACUGACAAGUAUUUUCGUCAUAUUUAUGAUGCGCUAUUUAGCCGCUGACGAGUAUAGUCGUCUGGGUUUUCCCCGGCAAUAUGGCCGUUUUACCUGUAUGUUAAACAAGCAGUGGUUGGUCGAAACUAGAGAAUUUCAUGUACACAUGGUUAUACCAACCAAUAAAAUACAUGUUUAAAUGCCUUUCAGUGAAGUGUUCUUUAUUUAGAUGCGAUAUAAAUACCUGUAAACAAAGGAAUUCGGCACGUGUUAAAUUUACCGAUCGAAAAUGGCGGACGUAUUGCGGGAAAUAUUACAAGACGAUAGUGGCGAAGAAUUUGAGGUUUUUAAAUUGGAGGAUGUAGAAAAAGCAGAUAAUACUUAUGUCUAUCAUCUGCUUGCAUUGGAUGAUGCCAAUGAACAAGGAUCAGACCUCGAAGUGUCCGAUUUUGAAUCGGAAUCAGACCGUGAGUCAGACACUGAAAGUUAAAGUGACGAUGACGAUAUCGUGCUGGCAGAUUACAAUCGUUGGACAGAGAAUUUACGUGACAUUAAUGUUCCUGCAUUCAAUGGACCACAGCCUGGACCUACACAAACACUCGAAGCGGAUAAAAAUGAAAUAGAUUUCUUAAAUUUAUUGUUUCCUGAGGAGUUAUACUUGAAGAUAUCUGACGAAACAAACGCUUAUGCUCAACUCUGCAUCAGGGUUAAAGCAAAUCCUGGAUGGUACGACACAAAGGUUGAGGAAAUACGUGCUUUUCUUGGAUGUUCAGUCGUAAUGGGGAUUAUAAGUGCACCUGCACAAGAUCUCUAUUGGUCAAAGGACAAACUGUUUCAUUUGUCAUGUAUUGAAGAAAGGUUCACAAGAACAAGAUUCGAAAAUAUUCAGAGGUAUUUUCACUUGGCCGACGCCACACAAAAUCCACCAAGGAACCAGCCUGGGCAUGUUCACAAACUUGUUCAUGUACGAACAAUAAUGGAAACAAUCAGAGAAAAUUUCAAACGACAAUACAAUGCACACAAAGAGGUUUCAAUUGAUGAGGCCAUGAUUGGAUUCUCAGGCCAGCUUGGUUACAAGCAGGGUGUAAUAUAUAUAUACACAUUUUGGGACAUAUAUUAUCAGCCCAAUUGAAAACGUUCCCCACAUUUACGAUGAUGUUUGAUACUUGUACUUGAUUAAGCAAGCGUUUAAUUUAAUCGGACUUUUGUUUAUGUUUUUAUGCACCAGUAGAAAUCUGUGGUGUACAUGGGUUUAAGUAAGAGAAUUUGUCAUCCGACAUUCGGAAGCCAUGUUUAAAAUCCCCAGGUGUAAAUCAUGUGACCCACCAAAAUGGCCGCCUAAUGCAAGUCGACUGUACAGUUUCAGAUCAAAAUACGAUGACCGCUGACUGCGUUAGACAGCUGACCGCUCUUAAGAGGGCAAUUAUAUAGGAUUUUUCAUCCGGAGGAAAUAAAAUGACCGCAUACGAAAGGUGACUGCUUAAUAGGGGUGGCCGCUUCGGCAGUUUUGAUUGUAAUUUUUUUUCAGAUUGUAAGCCCAUCAAAACAUCCAGAUGAGUACUGGGUGUGCUUUUUCAAAAAAGCAACAACUAAGAAAACCCUCAUGAAACUUGAAGAAAAGGAGUUUUUUGCUUUUUUAAAUGAAAUAACAAGAAAAAUCAAAGACCCUGUGCUAGAGGCUUUUGGAAGCCGAAUUUAUUAUAAUUUCAGUGAUAUUAGUACUUAGGACAAUAUCAGCAGAUCAAUAGCUGUAAUUACAAACUUGUCAAUCAUGCACUUUUCUUAUAUAAUCUAAAGAAAGCUGAUAAUGGUCCUAUACUAGUACUAAUUAUAUCAACUAUUCAUAAUAAAAAAGAUUUAAGGUUUAAUGCGUAUGAGAAAUUGUUUUACUCAUGUGUGAUACCAGUUUUGGAUUAUGCAUCCAGAAUUUGGGGUUUCAAAAAAUUUCAAUCAAUUGAUAAUAUUCAAAAUAGAGCUAAUCAAUAUUUCAUGGGGGUUCACUGUUUUGUGUCAACAUUGGCUAUAUAUGCCUUAAUGGAGACACCAGAUGGAUACCUAGCCAAUUCAGACGAUGGAUAAAUAUGAUCUCAGGGCUCGACAUUAACGCUUGUCCGGUACCAGUUAAAAAAAUAUACGGACAAGUGAAUAUUGCUUGCCACUUGUCCGACUGGACAAGUGCAUUUUUAUGUAAAGAAGUCUCCAACAUUUUAAAAAGUAAAGAAAGUUUUCUGAUAAGUUUAUCCGUAGUCCCGUUAUAAGUUUAUCGAUUAGUUAUUUUGAAUUUCGAUCCCGACUUCAAAUUGAAAUGCAAUUGAGUUACUCUUGAUCGGGAUUGAAGUUCACUAAUUACAAACAACUUUCAAUAUUGAACUGUAAAGGUGUGGAUCUUAGUUCUUACACAGUACCAAACACACAUGUUAUCAAAAGAAAGGAAUAACAGGUAGCAAAGAUAAACUUAAGGAUUAUGGAAAGAAAUGUAAUUUAUAUUAGGUUUCUUUCAUCAUUGAUAGUCUAUGAUGACUUUCCAUGUUUAGAUUAAAAAACAGAUGAGAAAUCAAUAUAAGAGUUACAUGUAUUUUAAAACCUGAUGCUAAAUUUAAAAUGUCUUGUAAUUUGCCAUGACAAAGCUACAGCUGACAAAUCAUGUUUAAUGUUAUAUGGAACCAAUUCAUUUAGGAAAGACAUCCAAGAAGUCAGGUUAUUAAUUAUGGCAAGAAUAAUUAUCAAUAAAUGACUUUAUUUUAGUAAUACAGAACUGUAGUUUUCAAGUUGACAAUAUUUGAUCUUUAAUAUUGAAAUUUUUUUGGACAAGUGAAGUUGAAGUUCAGACAAGUAAAUAUCUUGGUCACUUGUCCGAAUGGACAAGUAGAAAAAAAAGUUAAUGUAGAGCCCUGGAUCUGAUUUUGGAAUAGAGUGUUAUCCUUUGAAGAGGAACGAAUUAAACGAAUUGUAUUUGAAUUUGAUUAUAAUAGAUGUAGAAAUAACUGGUGCUGUGUCUUAAAAGAAGUUUUUCAUAUUUUAGAAUUUGAUAAUUACUUUGAAUCAAAGUUGAUGGUGGAUAUAGAUUUAGUUCAAUCAAAAAUACACACUUUAAGUUACUAUUCAAACUAUUGGAGUGAUGAAAUACUUAACAUCUCUAAAUUAUACGUACUUUCGUAAUAUUCAAAGCAGUCUUUGGAAGAGAAAAUUACCCUUUUUUAGAUAUGCCUGAGUAUUUACGAUCAACUUUGGCUCAAUUUAGAUGUGGUAUUAUACCAAUAAGAAUCAAAACUGGAAUAUUUCAGGGGGGAACCUAUUAAAGAAAGAAUUUGUGUUUUUUGUACCAAUAGAGGUUUAGAAGAUGAAUUUCAUUUUCUAUUACAUUGUUUUUUAUAUAUAUAACGAUUAUCGUAAAAAACCAUUUGAAAAUACUGGUCAGGUUGCCAAAUAUUUAUACUCAUCUAUUAAGAAAAGACAAUCACUUGUAUUUAAGUAAUGAGUUGUAAGCAAAUAUAUAAAAAUAAUACUUAAACUCACUGAUAUCCCAAAACUCCUUAAAGAUUUAUUUGUUGUAUUAUGUAUUUAAACAUGUAUUUUUGGGGUUUUUUUUGGUCCUUUAGGGUUUUUUCCCCCCAUCUUGCAUUGCGUUCUUUCCUUUAUGUAUUACAAUUUUAGUGAUUAACUCUUCGACCAUGAUAUGACAACAGAGUCAACAAAAAGCUUGUCCAAGACUGGCAGAAACAAAAGGAUGCACUGAGGAAGACUAAGAAAUCACGGAUAGCCUUUCUCAAAGCCAAAGCCAUGCCAGAAGAAAUGAAGAUCGACGACUUCCAGAGCACAGUAUCAUGGUGCUUCUGUUUCAUGAAGAGAAAGGACUUGGCCAUAAGACAGCGGACCACCCUUUUCAAGACCCUACCAGAUGAUCACUGAGAGAAGAUGGCUGCAUUCCAGGCAUUCGUCGAUGACCAGACAAAGAAAUUUAACCUCAGCAGUGACCAGUCAACAUCGAUGAGGUGCUGCUGACCUUCGACAUCCCAAUGAACAGGAUUAUCGACAGCAAAGGAAUCAGCAGCAUCAACAUUAGAACAACGGGCCAUGAGAAAGUGAGCUUCACGGUAGUCCUAGGAUAGGGAAAAAGCUGCCCCCAAUGGUUAUCUUUAAGAGGAAGACGGCGAUCAAAGACAAGUUUUGGUUGAUUGCAUAUACCGGCAAACAAAAUAAACUUGUCAGCCAUAUGUCAUUAUGACCCAUGGUAUGUGCCUUCAAAAUUCCAACAGAAAUGAAUACCAAAGGGGAAAACCGCAGUGAGUGUGGACAAAAUGAUUGAUAUGAUGACAAGAACAGCCAAAAUUCAUCAGAAAAGAAGUUUGAGGAGUCCCUGCAAACCUGUGCAGAGCCUUCUUCCACAAGCUGGAGAGAAAUCUUGUACAAAGCAUAACAUGCCAGUAUUUUGGGGUUGUUGGCCACAGCACACGUCUGGCUGGGAACCAGAGGUACCAAAGAAAUGCUGUGGACACAGACCGCCCAGAAGGGGGUGUUGACCUUGAAUGCCAGUACUUGUUCAAUGUGGAACAUCAACACUUUUAAUCUGAGAUUAUCUACAUGGACAACUUCUAUCCACCCCUCGACUUUGCUAGACCGUCUGUGGAAAAAGAAAAGACAUGCGCAAGGGAAUCAAGUCCUGCAAACUAAAGAACAAUGGAGACCAUAAAAUCCUUGAGAAAAAAAGAAUUUGUUGCUACUGCAUAGUGGGACAAAAACUGUUUACUUGUAAAAAAUGGACACAUCAGUGUUUUGAGAAAACAAAAAGAUUGCACCAUGAAGGAUGUUUCCUGCUUAGCUAUUUGUCAACAAUAAAAAUAGAUUAUUGUUUGGAGUAGAUAGUGCUGACCAUGUGAAAAAAAAUGGUGGAAAUAUUUGUGGUAAAAAUUGCGAACAAUGAUAUAUUAAUAAUAAUGAUAAAUAAUUGAUAAAAAGUGUGAACAUCUUUUUUUUGUUAUACAUGUUCUUAUUAAUUACCCAUAGGUAAUGAGUUAAUGAGUAAUAAAUGUGUUGACUGCUGCACUGUGUUUUCAUUCAGCUUGAAAUUAUCUCUGGAAGUCAAGUGAGCUAGUAAACAAGCGCUGGUAGGCAGCCCGAGUCCUUAUCAGCAGCAGGCUAUCUAUAUAUAGCGUGUAGCAGUUAAAGACUUAAUCUAAUUAAGGAAUAUUUUCUGUGAAAAUUUCAAUGCUAAAAAAUUCCUUAAAGAAUUAACUACAGAUUUGCUAACUAACUUGCUUCAAACAAUUUCCUGGGCAUCCUAACCAAAAUCGGAAAGUGAAGACCACCCUAACCGAAAUCGGAAAGUGAAGUAUGUUAAAUUCACAUCAAGAUCUAGAGUCAACAUUUUCACCCAUUUACAAACCAAACCAUUUUAUUUUUUGGAGAUAGUGAGACUGUUUAAGAGAUCUCAUGGGGUAAAUAAAGAAAUGACAUCUACAGUAAAAUGACUAUCAACAGCGCUUUCCUAUCAGGAAAGAUAUUUUAAAUAUAGGUGUUUCUUUGUGAAUUAAUUUCAGAAUUGGCUCUUUUUUGUUUGUUUAACAUUUGUAAACUAAGGACAAUAAAGAAAACUGAGGUCAAAAUCUCAACGAACAGAAGUCUUUAUUCAAAGCCAGAAAGGUUAAUAAUGUUCUCAUAUAUACAUGUACAUUGUAAAAUGUGCAUGAAUACGAUUUGGCUGAUUUUUGGGUUUUUCUUUUUCACUUUUAUUAUAUAAGUCUGUAUCAAAAUAAAUGAAUGAUUAUGUAACGAUGAGUGUUGAUAAUGUUUUACAAUGUUUGAUGCAGAUGAUAAUGAAUGAACUAAAUGAUGUGUGAAAUAUAUCAAAAUAGGAUUAAAAUCUGCAAAAACUGUCUUCAUAAUAGCACACAUGGUUCUCCAUACUCUGCCUUUUAAGAGUCUUCAAAACUACUGUUUCGUAGCAAAUAGCCCAGUUAUUGUAGCUGUUUUACAUAAUAAAUGCUUAACCACAUAUCCUGUACAGAGAAACGACAAUUUAGACAAGAUUUAACAAAUAAUUCACUGCUUAGCCCAGCAUAGGAAAUUAAUGUAACCAUUUUUCUAAUGUAUUAAAUGUUUCAUCAACCAAAAGCAAUGUAUCUUAAAU